rnacentral:tRNA from 1 species
GCCGAAAUGGCUCAGUUGAGAGAGCGUUAGCCUGAAGAUCUAAAGGUCCCUGGUUCGAUCCCGGGUUUCGGCA